GAUGAACGCUGGCGGCGUGCCUAAUACAUGCAAGUCGAGCGAACAGACGAGGAGCUUGCUCCUCUGACGUUAGCGGCGGACGGGUGAGUAACACGUGGAUAACCUACCUAUAAGACUGGGAUAACUUCGGGAAACCGGAGCUAAUACCGGACAAUAUAUUGAACCGCAUGGUUCAAUAGUGAAAGACGGUUUUGCUGUCACUUAUAGAUGGAUCCGCGCCGCAUUAGCUAGUUGGUAAGGUAACGGCUUACCAAGGCAACGAUGCGUAGCCGACCUGAGAGGGGGAUCGCCACCCCUGAACUGAGACACGGUCCAGACUCCUACGGGAGGCAGCAGUAGGGAAUCUUCCGCAAUGGGCGAAAGCCUGACGGAGCAACGCCGCGUGAGUGAUGAAGGUCUUCGGAUCGUAAAACUCUGUUAUUAGGGAAGAACAAAUGUGUAAGUAACUAUGCACGUCUUGACGGUACCUAAUCAGAAAGCCACGGCCAACUACGUG
rnacentral:rRNA from 1 species